CUGGGAAAGACCAGGGAUUCCAUAGCCCACUGAAAGACCACAAGAGAGAAUUUCCUCGAGAAGCUAGAUGCAGUCCUCUUGCUCAGGUUCUGAGAGAGGUGGAUGGUGUGUGAAGAGAUGAGGUCUAAUAUUCUUUACUUUCCAUUUUCAAUUAAAGGUAUAAACCACUGAAGGUGAAAGCAUGCGUUUCAAAUGCUAACCUAGGACUCAGAAGAGAAGGGUUCGACACGCUGAUGUGCUACACACUUCUUGAGUAAGUAAUCUGAUGUUUCAUUUCCCCAUCUUCAAAAAUUGCAUCUAUUCACUUAUAUUCUCUGGAUUUCUUUCAGGUCUGUGACUCUCUUCUUUACUUCAAACCAGAUUUCCUCUGAGCUGGAAGGCAGCUCUUGUGGUGUAGUGUUCAGCAGGCACCAGCCUCUCUGCCUGAAUUCUGCUCACCUCUACUCGACAUGUCUCAUAUGCUAUGUUUGAGUAAAUAGAAAAAAUACAUAACAGCUGAAUAAUCAGGAGGAUGUGAAAUGAUAGUUUUCCUUAUCAAAUGUUUGAGACUUCAGUUCUUUGCGUAUAUUUAUGGAAAGCAAUAUCUUCCAAACAUUUUCCAAAUGUUUUUUGUCUCAUGAAAUAAUUUCCCAACCAUAUCCAUGUGUAACAUUUUAAAGCUUUUGAUCCUUCUUUGAAAAGGCUAUUCUAAGCUGUCAGUGUUCGCAAUAUUCUCUUCUAGCACUGGAAGUAUCUGUAUAAUAACCUCAAAAUUAAAAUGUUUUGGAAGCUUCUAAAUAUAAGUUUUAUAGCUGCAGCUGUCAGGAAACAGCAUUUUGACAAACUUGAACUUUUUAAAGGAAAGUAUCAAUUUUGAUUAAAUGUGCUUGAAAGGUGUUUUCUUAUUUGGACAAAGCACUUCAAUAGGCUCACAGCAUUCUCUACAUUUAUUGAAGUAUAAUAUUGCCAUUUGUUUCAAAAUUAUUUUUAAUUUUAAGAUUCACUAGUAACUACUAUAUAGACCAUACCCAAGAACAGAAAUAUUUUUGAAACAUUUCAGUAUUAUUUCUAUUCACUUUUAAAUACUUUUUCCCCAAAACAAAAUUAUUUUAUGAGAAAUCUCAAUUUUUAUUUGCAUUCUAAUUGAUUUUUUCUGAAAGCCAAUAUUUUCUAUGAAAUUACAGAUUUAAUAUAUUAUUUUAAUAAUUUUUCUGAAAUAUGAGGUUUGUCUAGCUGCAUUGAUUGUGCAAAGAUGUAAGCCUGCACAUACCUUUAACCAUGUUGAUCAAAUUUAAAAACCUCCUACUAACUCAGCAGAUUUUGGUCCAGUUAUCUUUUCCAGUGGUCAUAUUGCCCACUUGAUUUGAUCUUCAGAUUUUAGCUUUGUCAGUCAUCAUCCCUCAAUGAAGGAGGGCUUAGUUAGGUUUCUUAAGGGUGUUAGUGAUGAAAAAUACAGGCAUAUGGACAGGUCCAAAGAGCACUGAAAGCUCAAGAAAAAAGCCUGAAGGCAUGGCCUGUAAGUGAUGAAGGCAAGAGAGGAAUCUCAAGAAGGAAAGGGAAGAAUGAUACAUAAUCAAUUGCUUACCUAGAGACAGAGAGAGUAAUAAACAAUACUCUGGUGGACAAUCUAAAUUUCUGAAACAAGCAAACAGAAAGGAGUUGUUUAUUAAUAUCCAGAUACUUGACCAACAAUCCUGCUGGCAUUUCAAGGAUCAUUCUGUUGUAGCAGUUGUUUUUCCCAAUGAAUACAGCUUUUCAAAGUUUCUCCUAUUCUAAAAUAACUAUAAAGAAGGUUACUGAAAUAUCUUGAGAAGCAGAGGACUGAAGACUUUGCCACCAUUUUCACUUUUCACCCACUGUUGAUAUAUGGUGAUGUUGAUGUAUGGUGUGAACCCAAAUCUACCUCCUGAUGGCAAAGUCAUUGGUUAGGCAACCAGCCUCCUUCCCCAGGGUAUAGUGAAAGUCAGACACUUCAGGAAGUGAAAUAAAAUGUAAGAUAGCUAAAUGUAGGGCUACCUGCAGCAGCAGAAUUAAUGGGCAGGAGAAGUCUCUAAACUUUACAAAGCUUCAGGAGAGCACAUCUGGUGUUUUUCUCAGGCUCAAAAUUCUCUCAUAUAGAAACAGUAACACCUGUUUUGAGGUACCUGAUAUGUGCUCACUUAUGGCUGUUGAAAUACAAGAGGGUGAAAAACAGCAUUUUCCCGUGUGCAUAUAAUUCUCAAGUGAAUAGUUAAUUGAAUUCUGGACAGGAGAUGUGACGGAGGAGUUCCAAGAUCGCCUCAUACAAAUCCUACAUUGGUACUCCAACCACUGUCUUCUUCAGAACACUUUCAAAUGCUCCUCAUAAAGGUCAGAUGCUCUGCAGAAAGCAAUUGAAGAUUUGCUGAGCAUGACAGAAAGACAAGAAGAAGGUGUUUAACUCAGUAGCUGAGGGCUGGUUUGUAAAGGAUGUCAAAUCUUUUCACUAAAACUGUUUCUGUGUAGGAGAGGGAGAUAAUCCUUUUAAUGAGAACAGAAAUCCAGAAGUCUUUCUGUCUGUAACUGCUGCUCCAUUUCUGCAUUUCUACAGCCUACACAAAUUAUCCAUUCAUGUGGUUGUUCCAAAAAAAUAAAAAAGGAAACAAACCAACAAACGUUUUCUCUUUACCCCUACUUUGUAUUAGAUUGAGCCAGCUAGCAUGUAUUAGAAUUGUUAAAUCAUUCCCCAUAAAGCUUAAAAGCUUUUAAUUUAAAGAAUUAUAAAUAAAUAAAUAAACCACAAGUAGUGAUAGUAAUAUAGAAUGAGCCAGAAUAGUUUGAUGUUCUUUAGAACUGAGUGGAAGCUUCCAGUUAAAUAGUUUUGCACUGAAGCUGCUAAAUACUACAUAAAUCACUUUUUAAUACUUAAAUAGCUACUGGAUCUGAACCCGAGAGUCAGCUGCCUAAAGAUUUCUGAUUCUUGUCAAAAUCACUGGGUUAGCCACCUCCAUAUUUUAGAAAUAUAAACAUUCACCUCUUCCACCUUAUGUCCUUGUGUGUAAAACAGGAAUAAAGAAAAGCCUUUUCCUUUUUUGAGAGCUGAAGUUCACUAACAGUGGUAAUAGAAGGUACCUAAAAUCAUUUUACUCAUAUUUUCCACAGAGGUCAGUAAGCAAGUGCUAAGUGCCAAAAUAAUUCUCUGCUCUCCAAGCUGGCACUGACUUGCUAAGCUGAAGGACAGACUCUCUGGUCCAUUACCCUAGCUUCUAUAUUUUACAUUUUUGUCAAUAAAAAAUAAUGUACA